rnacentral:rRNA from 1 species
GACGUAGGGCGCGAGCGUUGUCCGGAUUUAUUGGGCGUAAAGAGCUCGUAGGCGGCUCGUUGCGUCGGCUGUGAAAACCCGCAGCUCAACUGUGGGCUUGCAGCUGAUACGGGCGGGCUGGAGUUCGGUAGGGGAGACUGGAAUUCCUGGUGUAGCGGUGAAAUGCGCAGAUAUCGGGAGGAACACCAAUGGCGAAGGCAGCUCGCUGGGACGGUACUGACGCUGAGACGCGAAAGCGUGGGGAGCAAACAGG